rnacentral:rRNA from 1 species
CGCGGUAUCCUAACCGUGCGAAGGUAGCGUAAUCACUUGUUCUUUAAAUGGGGACUAGUAUGAAUGGCAUCACGAGGGUUAAACUGUCUCCUUUUUCUAAUCAGUGAAACUAAUCUCCCCGUGAAGAAGCGGGGAUUAUUUUAUAAGACGAGAAGACCCUAUGGAGCUUUAAACAAAUUUACACCUGCUUUAAUAUAUUUUACCUCCUGAAUACUCACACAAAUAAUAGCAUGACUGUUAAAUAGUUUUCGAUUGGGGUGAUCAUGGAGAAAAAAAUAACCUCCACGACGAUAAGGGAAUAUCCCUGAGCCAAAAGCCACAACUUUAAGCACUAAAAAAUUAACGCACUUUGACCCAAUUACUUGAGCAACGAACCAAGUUACCCUAGGGAUAACAGCGCAAUCCACUUCAAGAGCUCCUAUCGACAAGUGGGCUUACGACCUCGAUGUUGGAUCA